UACAAUGGUGUCUAAGACGAAUUAGCCUGCC
rnacentral:piRNA from 1 species